UUUUAUUUGAGAGUUUGAUCCUGGCUCAGGAUGAACGCUGGCGGCGUGCCUAACACAUGCAAGUUGAGCGAUUUACUUCGGUAAAGAGCGGCGGACGGGUGAGUAACGCGUGGGUAACCUACCCUGUACACACGGAUAACAUACCGAAAGGUAUGCUAAUACGGGAUAAUAUAUUUGAGAGGCAUCUCUUAAAUAUCAAAGGUGAGCCAGUACAGGAUGGACCCGCGUCUGAUUAGCUAGUUGGUAAGGUAACGGCUUACCAAGGC
rnacentral:rRNA from 1 species